rnacentral:misc_RNA from 1 species
UUUCCGUAGGUGAACCUGCGGAAGGAUCAUUAACGAGUUAGGGUCUUCUAGGCCCGACCUCCCAACCCGUUGUUUACUGAACCAUUGUUGCCUCGGUGGGUCCGUCUUACGACCGCCGGGGGAUCGCCGCGAGGCGCCCCCGGGCCAGCGCCCACCGAUAGCCCAACCUUUAAAACCCUUUGUGAAUCGUGUCUUAUGUCUAAAUUUAUGAUUAGAUAAUCAAAACAAAACUUUCAACAACGGAUCUCUUGGUUCUG